GCCUGGCUGGCUCAGUUGGUAGAGCAUGUGCUUCUUGAUCUCAAGAUCAUGAGUUCAAGCCUCACAUUAGGUG
rnacentral:tRNA from 1 species